rnacentral:lncRNA from 1 species
AAAACUGUGAGUUUUUAUGAGUUCCACGUAAUCGGACCCCGGGGUUCCCGAAAUGUUCGGUUCACAGCGGGACCCAAAAUCAGUGAGUAAUAGCAUACAAAACUAGCCACAAUAGACCAAAACUGCGAGUUUUGACGAGUUCCCCGUAACCGGACCUCGGGGUUCCCGAAACGUUUGGAUCGCAGCGGCAACCAAAAUCAGUGAGUAAUAGCAUACAAAACUG